rnacentral:lncRNA from 1 species
GGGGAAAGGAACAAUUGGAGGAUUGUGGUCCAUCACCUGGUAUAGCCGGAUGCAGCACAAGCACAAGCCAGGAUCCAUCCUGCUGUAGGAGAUAAGGUCCCAUAGGCCUUGAGCAUCAAAAGAGGGAACUGGCAAAGCAGUCCCUGAGCUAGCUCUUCCAGUAUCAGCACAUCAGUAUUCAGGAGUCCAACUGCUGCUGUUUGCAAAUCUGUGUAGAUGAAUGCAGUCCAAAAUGUACAAGUUGGACCUAAAUAUUAAACUCUGUUUACUGUAGAAUUAAAGGUAAGUCUUGAACAAACAAAGAGUGAAAAAUAUGAUUCUACAAAUUUGAGCAAAUAUAAACUUCUGAUUUAAAUAUGAUGGGAAAAAUGAUCUUCCUACUUUUUCUCUGAC